UUUAACUGAAGAGUUUGAUCAUGGCUCAGAUUGAACGCUGGCGGCAGGCUUAACACAUGCAAGUCGAGCGGGGGAAGGUAGCUUGCUACCGGACCUAGCGGCGGACGGGUGAGUAAUGCUUAGGAAUCUGCCUAUUAGUGGGGGACAACAUCUCGAAAGGGAUGCUAAUACCGCAUACGUCCUACGGGAGAAAGCAGGGGAUCUUCGGACCUUGCGCUAAUAGAUGAGCCUAAGUCGGAUUAGCUAGUUGGUGGGGUAAAGGCCUACCAAGGCGACGAUCUGUAGCGGGUCUGAGAGGAUGAUCCGCCACACUGGGACUGAGACACGGCCCAGACUCCUACGGGAGGCAGCAGUGGGGAAUAUUGGACAAUGGGGGGAACCCUGAUCCAGCCAUGCCGCGUGUGUGAAGAAGGCCUUAUGGUUGUAAAGCACUUUAAGCGAGGAGGAGGCUACUCUAGUUAAUACCUAGGGAUAGUGGACGUUACUCGCAGAAUAAGCACCGGCUAACUCUGUGCCAGCAGCCGCGGUAAUACAGAGGGUGCGAGCGUUAAUCGGAUUUACUGGGCGUAAAGCGUGCGUAGGCGGCUUAUUAAGUCGGAUGUGAAAUCCCCGAGCUUAACUUGGGAAUUGCAUUCGAUACUGGUGAGCUAGAGUAUGGGAGAGGAUGGUAGAAUUCCAGGUGUAGCGGUGAAAUGCGUAGAGAUCUGGAGGAAUACCGAUGGCGAAGGCAGCCAUCUGGCCUAAUACUGACGCUGAGGUACGAAAGCAUGGGGAGCAAACAGGAUUAGAUACCCUGGUAGUCCAUGCCGUAAACGAUGUCUACUAGCCGUUGGGGCCUUUGAGGCUUUAGUGGCGCAGCUAACGCGAUAAGUAGACCGCCUGGGGAGUACGGUCGCAAGACUAAAWCUCAAAUGAAUUGACGGGGGCCCGCACAAGCGGUGGAGCAUGUGGUUUAAUUCGAUGCAACGCGAAGAACCUUACCUGGCCUUGACAUACU
rnacentral:rRNA from 1 species